GACGAACGCUGGCGGUGUGCCUCACACAUGCAAGUCGAGCGGACGAAGAUUGAAGCUUGCUUCAGUCCUAGUUAGCGGCGGACGGGUGAGUAACACGUAGGAAUCUGCCUUCAGGCGGGGGACAACGGAACGAAAGUUGCGCUAAUACCCCAUAUGCGAGUAAUCGUAAAAGGAGCAAUCCACCGGAAGAUGAGCCUGCGUCCGAUUAGCUAGUUGGUAGGGUAAAAGCCUACCAAGGCUACGAUCGGUAGUUGGUCUGAGAGGAUGAUCAGCCACAAUGGAACUGAGACACGGUCCAUACUCCUACGGGAGGCAGCAGUGGGGAGUUUUACGCAAUGGGCGAAAGCCUGACGUAGCGACACCGCGUGAGCGAAGAAGCCUUUGGGGUGUAAACUGCUUUAUCUGGGGAUAAAAAGCUCAUGCGUGAGUAAUUGAAGGUACCAGAUGAAUAAGCACCGGCUAACUACGUGCCAGCAGCCGCGGUAAAGUCUAG
rnacentral:rRNA from 1 species